rnacentral:rRNA from 1 species
GAUGAACGCUGGCGGCGUGCUUAACACAUGCAAGUCGAACGGAAAGGCCCAAGCUUGCUUGGGUCCUCGAGUGGCGAACGGGUGAGUAACACGUGGGUGAUCUGCCCUGCACUUCGGGAAAAGCCUGGGAAACUGGGUCUAAUACCGGAUAGGACGAUGGUUUGGAUGCCAUUGUGGAAAGUUUUUUCGGUGUGGGAUGAGCUCGCGGCCUAUCAGCUUGUUGGUGGGGUAAUGGCCUACCAAGGCGUCGACGGGUAGCCGGCCUGAGAGGGUGUACGGCCACAUUGGGACUGAGAUACGGCCCAGACUCCUACGGGAGGCAGCAGUGGGGAAUAUUGCACAAUGGGCGCAAGCCUGAUGCAGCGACGCCGCGUGGGGGAUGACGGCCUUCGGGUUGUAAACUCCUUUCGCUAGGGACGAAGCGUUUUUGUGACGGUACCUGGAGAAGAAGCACCGGCUAACUACGUG